UACGGGGGGGGCAAGCGUUGUUCGGAAUUACUGGGCGUAAAGGGCUCGUAGGCGGCCAACUAAGUCAGACGUGAAAUCCCUCGGCUUAACCGGGGAACUGCGUCUGAUACUGGAUGGCUUGAGUUUGGGAGAGGGAUGCGGAAUUCCAGGUGUAGCGGUGAAAUGCGUAGAUAUCUGGAGGAACACCGGUGGCGAAGGCGGAUCUCUGGGCCUUACCUGACGCUCAGGCACGAAAGCUAGGGGAGCGAACAGG
rnacentral:rRNA from 1 species